UUUCGCGAUAGCUUGCUACUCGCUGACGAGCGGCGGACGGGUGAGUAACGCGUAGGAAUCUACCCAGUGGUGGGGGAUAGCCCGGGGAAACUCGGAUUAAUACCGCAUACGUUCUACGGAAGAAAGCGGGGGCUCUUCGGACCUCGCGCCAUUGGGUGAGCCUGCGUUAGAUUAGCUAGUUGGUGGGGUAAAGGCCUACCAAGGCGACGAUCUAUAGCUGGUCUGAGAGGAUGAUCAGCCACACUGGGACUGAGACACGGCCCAGACUCCUACGGGAGGCAGCAGUGGGGAAUAUUGGACAAUGGGGGCAACCCUGAUCCAGCCAUGCCGCGUGUGUGAAGAAGGCUUUCGGGUUGUAAAGCACUUUAAGUAGGGAGAAAGGCUAUAACGUUAAUAGCGUUGUAGAUUGAUGUUACCUACAGAAUAAGCACCGGCCAACUCCGUGCCAGCAGCCGCGGUGAUACGGAGGGUGCAAGCGUUAAUCGGAAUUACUGGGCGUAAAGCGCGCGUAGGCGGUUUGCUAAGCCAGAUGUGAAAGCCCUGGGCUCAACCUGGGAACUGCAUUUGGAACUGGCAGGCUAGAGUACGGUAGAGGGUGGUAGAAUUUCCUGUGUAGCGGUGAAAUGCGUAGAUAUAGGAAGGAAUACCGG
rnacentral:rRNA from 1 species